rnacentral:tRNA from 1 species
GCGCCCGUGGCUCAGUUGGAUAGAGUGACGGACUACGAAUCCGUAGGUCGCAGGUUCGAAUCCUGCCGGGCGCACCA